rnacentral:rRNA from 1 species
UACGGGGGGGGCAAGCGUUGUUCGGAAUUACUGGGCGUAAAGGGCUCGUAGGCGGCCAACUAAGUCGGACGUGAAAUCCCUCAGCUUAACUGGGGAACUGCGUCCGAUACUGGAUGGCUUGGAUUUGGGAGAGGGAUGCGGAAUUCCAGGUGUAGCGGUGAAAUGCGUAGAUAUCUGGAGGAACACCGGUGGCGAAGGCGGGUCUCUGGACAGUUCCUGACACUGAGGCACGAAGGCCAGGGGAGCAAACGGG